UUACGGCCAUAUCAAGUUGAAAUACCGGGUUCCCGAAUGAUAACCGAAGUUAAACAACGUCGAGUCUGGUCAGUACCUAGAUGGGUGACCACUUGAAAAUAUCAAGUGCUGUAAG